UACAGAGGUCUCAAGCGUUGUUCGGAUUCAUUGGGCGUAAAGGGCGCGUAGGCGGCAAUUCAAGUCAGCUGUGAAAUCUCCGGGCUUAACUCGGAACGGUCAGCUGAUACUGCUUUGCUAGAGUGCAGAAGGGGCAAUCGGAAUUCUCGGUGUAGCGGUGAAAUGCGUAGAUAUCGAGAGGAACACCUGAGGCGAAGGCGGGUUGCUGGGCUGACACUGACGCUGAUGCGCGAAAGCCAGGGUAGCAAACGGG
rnacentral:rRNA from 1 species